rnacentral:rRNA from 1 species
AACGAACGCUGGCGGCAGGCAUAACACAUGCAAGUCGAGCGCCCCGCAAGGGGAGCGGCGGACGGGUGAGUAACGCGUGGGAACGUACCCUUUGCUACGGAAUAGCCUCGGGAAACUGGGAGUAAUACCGUAUGUGCCCUUCGGGGAAAGAUUUAUCGGCAAAGGAUCGGCCCGCGUUGGAUUAGGUAGUUGGUGGGGUAAUGGCCUACCAAGCCGACGAUCCAUAGCUGGUUUGAGAGGAUGAUCAGCCACACUGGGACUGAGACACGGCCCAGACUCCUACGGGAGGCAGCAGUGGGGAAUCUUAGACAAUGGGCGCAAGCCUGAUCUAGCCAUGCCGCGUGAGCGAUGAAGGCCUUAGGGUUGUAAAGCUCUUUCAGUGGGGAAGAUAAUGACUGUACCCACAGAAGAAGCCCCGGCUAACUCCGUG